rnacentral:rRNA from 1 species
AACGAACGCUGGCGGCAUGCCUAACACAUGCAAGUCGAACGAGACCUUCGGGCCUAGUGGCGCACGGGUGCGUAACACGUGGGAAUCUGCCCUUUGCUUCGGAAUAACAGUUAGAAAUGACUGCUAAUACCGGAUGAUGUCGAAAGACCAAAGAUUUAUCGGCAAAGGAUGAGCCCGCGUAGGAUUAGGUAGUUGGUGGGGUAAAGGCCUACCAAGCCGACGAUCCUUAGCUGGUCUGAGAGGAUGAUCAGCCACACUGGGACUGAGACACGGCCCAGACUCCUACGGGAGGCAGCAGUGGGGAAUAUUGGACAAUGGGCGAAAGCCUGAUCCAGCAAUGCCGCGUGAGUGAUGAAGGCCUUAGGGUUGUAAAGCUCUUUUGCCAGGGAUGAUAAUGACAGUACCUGGAGAAUAAGCUCCGGCUAACUCCGUG